rnacentral:misc_RNA from 1 species
GAUGAAGAACGUAGCGAAAUGCGAUAAGUAAUGUGAAUUGCAGAAUUCAGUGAAUCAUCGAAUCUUUGAACGCACAUUGCGCCCGCCAGUAUACUGGCGGGCAUGCCUGUUCGAGCGUCAUUUCAACCAUCAAGCCCCCGGGCUUGUGUUGGGGACCUGCGGCUGCCCGCAGGCCCUGAAAACCAGUGGCGGGCUCGCUGUCACACCGAGCGUAGUAGCAUCAUCUCGCUCAGGGCGUGCUGCGGGUUCCGGCCGUUAAAAAGCCUCUAAUACCCAAGGUUGACCUCGGAUCAGGUAGGAAGACCCGCUGAACUUAAGCAUAUCAAUAAGCGGAGGA